AGUGAACGCUGGCGGUAGGCCUAACACAUGCAAGUCGAACGGCAGCACAGUAAGAGCUUGCUCUUACGGGUGGCGAGUGGCGGACGGGUGAGGAAUACAUCGGAAUCUACUUUUUCGUGGGGGAUAACGUAGGGAAACUUACGCUAAUACCGCAUACGACCUACGGGUGAAAGCAGGGGAUCUUCGGACCUUGCGCGAUUGAAUGAGCCGAUGUCGGAUUAGCUAGUUGGCGGGGUAAAGGCCCACCAAGGCGACGAUCCGUAGCUGGUCUGAGAGGAUGAUCAGUCACACUGGAACUGAGACACGGUCCAGACUCCUACGGGAGGCAGCAGUGGGGUAUAUUGGACAAUGGGCGCAAGCCUGAUCCAGCCAUACCGCGUGGGUGAAGAAGGCCUUCGGGUUGUAAAGCCCUUUUGUUGGGAAAGAAAAGCAGCAGGUUAAUACCCCGCUGUUCUGACGGUACCCAAAGAAUAAGCACCGGCUAACUUCGUG
rnacentral:rRNA from 1 species